CAGACGCCCCACAGCCCCGGAGCGCCCCGUGCCAGGGCCGCCUGGCUCCGCAGUGUCCAUGGGGGCCCACAGCACGGCUGCCCUGAGACUCCUGCCCACCUCCACCUUGUGUGCCCACUGCCUGAGGCCUGGCCCGAGCCCCUCGAGCCAUGCAGCGACUCCUGACCCUGCUUCUCCUCACUGGUUCUGCGUGCUGUGCCCAGGAGAUGCAGGGCCCUGGCGGCGGCUCCUACUUCUACGUUCGGGGAGAAGAGCAGGGGGAGCUUCGGGGCAUCCGGG